ACAUGCAAGUCGAGGGGCAGCAUUUUAGUUUGCUUGCAAACUAAAGAUGGCGACCGGCGCACGGGUGAGUAACACGUAUCCAACCUGCCGAUAACUCGGGGAUAGCCUUUCGAAAGAAAGAUUAAUAUCCGAUAGUAUAUUAAAACCGCAUGGUUUUACUAUUAAAGAAUUUCGGUUAUCGAUGGGGAUGCGUUCCAUUAGUUUGUUGGCGGGGUAACGGCCCACCAAGACUACGAUGGAUAGGGGUUCUGAGAGGAAGGUCCCCCACAUUGGAACUGAGACACGGUCCAAACUCCUACGGGAGGCAGCAGUGAGGAAUAUUGGUCAAUGGACGAGAGUCUGAACCAGCCAAGUAGCGUGAAGGAUGACUGCCCUAUGGGUUGUAAACUUCUUUUAUAUGGGAAUAAAGUAUUCCACGUGUGGGAUUUUGUAUGUACCAUAUGAAUAAGGAUCGGCUAACUCCGUGCCAGCAGCCGCGGCAAUACGGAGGAUCCGAGCGUUAUCCGGAUUUAUUGGGUUUAAAGGGAGCGUAGGUGGAUUGUUAAGUCAGUUGUGAAAGUUUGCGGCUCAACCGUAAAAUUGCAGUUGAAACUGGCAGUCUUGAGUACAGUAGAGGUGGGCGGAAUUCGUGGUGUAGCGGUGAAAUGCUUAGAUAUCACGAAGAACUCCGAUUGCGAAGGCAGCUCACUAGACUGCAACUGACACUGAUGCUC
rnacentral:rRNA from 1 species